rnacentral:misc_RNA from 1 species
UCUCCGUAGGUGAACCUGCGGAGGGAUCAUUACCGAGUGAGGGUUCCGGCCCGACCUCCAACCCUUUGUGAAUUCGACCCAGUUGCCUCGGGGGCGACCCUGCCGUUUCGACGGCGAGCGCCCCCGGAGGCCUUCAAACACUGCAUCUUUGCGUCGGAGUUUAAGUAAAUUAAACAAAACUUUCAACAACGGAUCUCUUGGUUCUGGCAUCGAUGAAGAACGCAGC